rnacentral:rRNA from 1 species
UACGUAGGGGGCGAGCGUUAUCCGGAUUCAUUGGGCGUAAAGCGCGCGUAGGCGGCCGCCUAAGCGGGACCUCUAACCCCGGGGCUCAACCCCGGGCCGGGUCCCGGACUGGGCGGCUCGAGUGCGGUAGAGGAGAGCGGAAUUCUCGGUGUAGCGGUGGAAUGCGCAGAUAUCGGGAAGAACACCGAUGGCGAAGGCAGCUCUCUGGGCCGUCACUGACGCUGAGGCGCGAAAGCUGGGGGAGCGAACAGG